rnacentral:rRNA from 1 species
CAGUAGCCACGGUAAUACGUAUGUCGCGAGCGUUAUCCGGAAUUACUGGGUGUAAAGGGAGCGUAGACGGUUAAACAAGUCUGAAGUGAAAUGCCGGGGCUCAACCCCGGAGCUGCUUUGGGAACUGUAGAGCUGGAGUGUCGGAGGGGUAAGCGGAAUUCCCAGUGUAGCGGUGAAAUGCGUAGAUAUUGGGAGGAACACCGGCGGCGAAGGCGGCUUACUGGACGACAACUGACGUUGAGACUCGAAGGCGUGGGUAGCAAACAGGAUUAGAUACCCGCGUAGUCCCUGUCUCUUAUAC